rnacentral:rRNA from 1 species
UGGGGAAUAUUGGACAAUGGGCGCAAGCCUGAUCCAGCCAUGCCGCGUGAGUGAUGAAGGCCCUAGGGUUGUAAAGCUCUUUCACCGGCGAAGAUAAUGACGGUAACCGGAGAAGCAGCCCCGGCUAACUUCGUGCCAGCAGCCGCGGUAAUACGAAGGGGGCUAGCGUUGUUCGGAUUUACUGGGCGUAAAGCGCACGUAGGCGGACUUUUAAGUCAGGGGUGAAAUCCCGGGGCUCAACCCCGGAACUGCCUUUGAUACUGGAAGUCUUGAGUAUGGUAGAGGUGAGUGGAAUUCCGAGUGUAGAGGUGGAAUUCGUAGAUAUUCGGAGGAACACCAGUGGCGAAGGCGGCUCACUGGACCAUUACUGACGCUGAGGUGCGAAAGCGUGGGGAGCAAACAGG